UACAGAGGGGGCAAGCGUUGUUCGGAAUUACUGGGCGUAAAGGGCGCGUAGGCGGCCUGCUAAGUCGAACGUGAAAUCCCCGGGCUCAACCCGGGAACUGCGUCCGAUACUGGCAGGCUUGAAUCCGGGAGAGGGAUGUGGAAUUCCAGGUGUAGCGGUGAAAUGCGCAGAUAUCAGGAAGAACACCUAUGGCGAAGGCAGCACUCUGGGACGGUACUGACGCUGAGACGCGAAAGCGUGGGGAGCGAACAGG
rnacentral:rRNA from 1 species